CAGCCGCCACGGGAAUACGGAGGGUGCAAGCGUUACUCGGAAUCACUGGGCGUAAAGGACGCGUAGGCGGAUUAUCAAGUCUCUUGUGAAAUCUAACGGCUUAACCGUUAAACUGCUUGGGAAACUGAUAAUCUAGAGUAAGGGAGAGGCAGAUGGAAUUCUUGGUGUAGGGGUAAAAUCCGUAGAUAUCAAGAAGGAUACCUAUUGCGAAGGCGAUCUGCUGGAACUUAACUGACGCUAAUACGUGAAAGCGUGGGGAGCAAACAGGAUUAGAUACCCGAGUAGUCCCUGUCUCUUAUAC
rnacentral:rRNA from 1 species